rnacentral:lncRNA from 1 species
AAGAGGCCAAUGGCUGCCCCAGAAUUCCCAGCAGGAUUUGUUCCUCUUGGAUCAGUGAAAAGGAAAAUGGAAAUAUAAAAAUAAUAACUGGGCCCCAGGAAAGAACUUGGAGAUGGGGGUGGCAUCUCCUGCCUGGCUCCGGCUGGUUGGGCGAGUGGCAGGCCACUUGGCUACUUCACAAUGGAAUGAAGCCAUCAUUCCACCCUUUGCUGGGUAACCUCAGGCAGGUCACUGAGCCCCUACUUCAUCAUCUGUAUAGCAGGACAGGAUGUCACAGAUGUAGAGAUUCAACAGGAUGAGAGUGCCUGACCUGUGACGGGUGCCCACCAUUUCCUCCGUGAAGCCUGCCCUGACCACACCAGCCCUGAGUUACAUGCCUCAGCCUCAGAACCGCCGGGCGCCUGGGCUGGGAAAGUGCCCAUCCUCCUCUCAAGUCCGCAGCACUCGCCAUCCACCAAGA